UGGGGAAUAUUGGACAAUGGGCGCAAGCCUGAUCCAGCCAUGCCGCGUGGGGGAUGAAGGUCUUCGGAUCGUAAACCCCUGUCGAAUGGGACGAAAGACUCGCGAGUGAAUACUUCGCGAGAGUGACGGUACCGUUAAAGGAAGCCACGGCUAACUCUGUGCCAGCAGCCGCGGUAAUACAGAGGUGGCAAGCGUUGUUCGGAAUUACUGGGCGUAAAGCGCGUGUAGGUGGUCGAGUAAGUCGAAUGUGAAAGCCCCGGGCUCAACCCGGGAAGUGCAUCCGAAACUGCUCGACUAGAGUCCCGGAGAGGAAGGCAGAAUUCCCAAUGUAGGGGUGAAAUCCGUAGAUAUUGGGAGGAAUACCGGUGGCGAAGGCGGCCUUCUGGACGGUGACUGACACUCAGACGCGAAAGCGUGGGGAGCAAACAGGAUUAGAUACCCCAGUAGUCCCUGAGCGGGCUGGCAAGGCGCAU
rnacentral:rRNA from 1 species